AUUGGAUAAUAAGGCCGAUGCUUAUUUCUGUAAAAUAGAAAGUUUCUCAUGUGAUCAGCCAACUUGUAUGCGAUCGGAAUCUUAUGUCAUAAUCUCCUAUCCAUUCGAUCAAAUUUUUUUAGGGUUAUCUCUUCCCUCAAACUCUCACUCUCUCAGUCUCCAUUCGAUCACAAACGGAGACGACUCUGAGUCUCUGACUCUCUCACUCUCUCAGCCCUAAUUCAGCAAUGCUAUGAUCAAAACCCAGACGAGCGAGACGAACCCAGAAACAUCGCGUCUUCGAUUUGUGUUGGCCAUCUGCGAUUUGGUUGAUGCAGCUCAGCCUGGGAUUUGGUUGAUCCGUCUUCGAUUUGGGCCAUGGCUCAAUUUUGAACCCUGUCCUGCAGUGAGUGCAGUCCAGCGACUUUAGCCUGUGAUUUCUUCCCAUGAGCACUUCGAGUGAAAUUGAUGACUGCUUUGACAAUGGAGAACAUAACUCUGAUUCUGAAGUUGCAAAUGAACAAUAGUCCAUCUGUGGUUAUGCGCAAUGAUGAUAGAGGAAAUGGUGAAGACUUCAUGCUCUCAAAGCACGAUUUGGCUACUGGUACAACAGAAAGUAGGAAGGAAGCUCAUGAGUUUCAGUAUUUUGGUUUGCUGCAAAUUAAUGCAGCUGCAUUGUUCAAAUUGGACAGUCUAUUGUUUAUUUUUAUUUGCUGCAGUUUGCUGGGAAUGUGUAUUAUUGCAGACUUGCUUUGACAGUUUGAGAGUUUUGAGUGUUUGAUGGUUUAAUGCUUUCAUCAGUUUCAUCUUUCA